rnacentral:rRNA from 1 species
GGCAGCAGUGAGGAAUAUUGGUCAAUGGGCGCUAGCCUGAACCAGCCAAGUAGCGUGAAGGAUGACUGCCCUAUGGGUUGUAAACUUCUUUUAUAUGGGAAUAAAGUGCAGUAUGUAUACUGCUUUGCAUGUACCUUAUGAAUAAGGAUCGGCUAACUCCGUGCCAGCAGCCGCGGUAAUACGGAGGAUCCGAGCGUUAUCCGGAUUUAUUGGGUUUAAAGGGAGCGUAGGCGGGUUGUUAAGUCAGUUGUGAAAGUUUGCGGCUCAACCGUAAAAUUGCAGUUGAUACUGGCAUCCUUGAGUACAGUAGAGGUAGGCGGAAUUCGUGGUGUAGCGGUGAAAUGCUUAGAUAUCACGAAGAACUCCGAUUGCGAAGGCAGCCUGCUGGACUGUAACUGACGCUGAUGCUCGAAAGUGUGGGUAUCAAACAGGAUUAGAUACCCUGGUAGUCCACACAGUAAACGAUGAAUACUCGCUGUUUGCGAUAUACAGUAA